GUGUUUCUAGGCUGUCACACAGUGAGCCCGUCGAAGAUUCCAACCUUCUAUCUUCUGUGGGGGUGUCAGAAGAGAAUGCUGAACUUCUGCUGGGUUGUACACAAACUGGACAGUCGAGGCUGGCCUGAGACUUGUGAGGAGUCCAGGGCCACAGUGGAUCUAGAUGGACUGCACUUGAACAUAGGGUAAGGUCCACAGAGAUGCCGAUGGUGCGAGCCAUUUUCUUGUGGAUGCCAGCCGCCCUGAGCUCCUCCAGGCUGAAGCCCCUGCCAGCACGGACCACACCUCACGAUGGGCCUGAGGGGGCCAGACGCGGGGCGAGGGGCGAUGCGAAGCGCUUCUGCCUGCCGGGCCUUGCGCCUACGGAUCUUGCGCGAAGGCUGGUUGAACCAAGUGUCCACUCGCUGCUGCCAAUCCUUGUGGAAAUGGGGCUUCAGGAUCAUGCCAUUCCGCCUGGGCGCCAUGGCUGCCUCCUAUACAGGAGAACAGCCGAGCAGAAAGGCGUUGCUCUUGUUUCUUGGUGAGCUGAGCUCAGGACAGGUCUGUGAGAAGCACCACACCAAGGGAACUUCCCAAAGGGAAAGCAGGCGCUGCUGCCCGGAAGCUGCGAAGGUGAAAGAAACUCAAAACGCUGCAGGUCAACGUGCUGAUGACAUGUGUGGGCAAAAGGAAACAGGGCAUGAGGUAAGUACACUGUAGCUGUCUUCAGAAGAGGGUGUCAGAUCUCA